rnacentral:tRNA from 1 species
GCGGGAGUGGCGGAAUUGGGUAGACGCGCUGGAUUUAGGUUCCAGUAUCUUAGGAUGUGAGAGUUCAAGUCUCUCCUUCCGCACCA